rnacentral:snoRNA from 1 species
AGGCAAAGCUCAGUGGUUAAGAAGUCAGCCUCAUUCUUAUGUGCUAUACAAAUAGUUGAAGGUUAAUUAGCAUUACUAUGAAUAGUAAUGCUGCCAGUCUCCUUCAGACAAGA